CGCUUACCACUUUGUGAUUCAUGACUGGGGUGAAGUCGUAACAAGGUAACCGUAGGGGAACCUGCGGUUGGAUCACCUCCUUACCUUAAAGAA
rnacentral:rRNA from 23 species